GGGUUGCUCAGAGCAUCAUGGGGAUGAUUCAUCCCACAAUAAAGCCCCUCUCCUGUUGCUCUCCUGCCAGUGCGAUUAGCAAUGGAAGUCUUUAACCCUGGCCGUCACCAUUUUCAAGGGACAAGUCUCCAUAAAGAAGCAGCCUGAGCUGUUAGGAAUCUGCCUUUGCUCAAGACACCUCUGUCUACCCUGGCAGUUACCCUGGAUGGUUUUGCUGUCGUGAUUAAAACACAGAUGGAGCUCAUCCCUUCCCUGGGUGUUUGAUUGGCAGACUCUCUGUGAUCAGCACUCUUCUCUGUUGAACACAUCAGCGCCAUCUGCCUUCCGUCUGCCUGGAGAGAUUUGCCACAGCAGAGCUUCCUCAGCCUCAAGUGAACCAGUGCAAAGGAUGUGCAUUCCUUUUGCUGAAGCCAUCAAAUGAUUCACUCACGAAGAGCUAAAUAGAAUAUGUGAAGAUUUUCACGACAGUAGGCUUCCAGAUUAAUGAAAUAUUCAUUUAAAUUAGACUUUGACGAUGUGUCAUUUCUCUUCUCUGAUUAAAAUAUUUAGAGCAUAACACAAAAUCCAAAAGUCUUGAAAAGCCAAACUCUAAGGAAAUUCAGCUGAUGGGGCAUUUUGUUUUCAGUGAGGUUGUUAAAAUGAUUUCAAACUAGGGUCUAGUGCUUUGAAGCAUAGGUAUGGGUGGCAGUCCGCUCAUGUGCUUAGGAGUUUCAGAGCUUGAACCCAGUAAAUAGUAAUAUACGUUCAAAGAGCAUGCUAAUUUCAAUGUUUUAUCACUUAAAUAGAUUGUAAUAAAUUAUACUUCCUAAUUUGGAUGUUAGUAUGAAGAAUGGGCAGAAACAUGUUCUUUUUCCACAUCAACAUUGUAUGAAUGCAGAGUGUAGCUUGGGUGCUUUGGAAAAGGAUAUAUUUAAGAUAUUAGAAGACUUCAAACAGUGGCAUUAGGAGGAAGAGGGGGAGAUUAUUAGUCUGUUUUAAAAAUAGCAAUGUAAGGAACUGGCUCAAACUUAAUUACCUAAGUAUGUAAGAAAUAUACUUGUAUUGUGCUUAAUAAUGUGAAUUGUCUAUAUCAUUAAAUUACAGGAAACCACUUUGAAUUCCUCCUUCCUGUCCAAAUAAAUAAUAAAUAUAAUUAACACAG